rnacentral:rRNA from 1 species
AAAUUGAAGAGUUUGAUCAUGGCUCAGAUUGAACGCUGGCGGCAGGCCUAACACAUGCAAGUCGAACGGUAACAGGAAGCAGCUUGCUGCUUCGCUGACGAGUGGCGGACGGGUGAGUAAUGUCUGGGAAACUGCCCGAUGGAGGGGGAUAACUACUGGAAACGGUAGCUAAUACCGCAUAACGUCGCAAGACCAAAGAGGGGGACCUUCGGGCCUCUUGCCAUCGGAUGUGCCCAGAUGGGAUUAGCUAGUAGGUGGGGUAACGGCUCACCUAGGCGACGAUCCCUAGCUGGUCUGAGAGGAUGACCAGCCACACUG